rnacentral:rRNA from 1 species
ACGAACGCUGGCGGCGUGCUUAACACCUGCAAGUCGAACGGAAAGGCCCCUUUGGGGGUACUCGAGUGGCGAACGGGUGAGUAACACGUGAGUAACCUGCCCUUGACUUCGGGAUAACUUCAGGAAACUGGGGCUAAUACCGGAUAGGAAUCCUUGCUGCAUGGUGGGGGUUGGAAAGCUUCGGCGGUUUUGGAUGGACUCGCGGCUUAUCAGCUUGUUGGUGGGGUAGUGGCUUACCAAGGCUUUGACGGGUAGCCGGCCUGAGAGGGCGACCGGCCACAUUGGGACUGAGAGACGGCCCAGACUCCUACGGGAGGCAGCAGUGGGGAAUAUUGCACAAUGGGCGGAAGCCGGAUGCAGCAACGCCGCGUGCGGGAGGACGGCCUUCGGGUUGGAAACCGCUUUCAGCAGGGGCGAAGCUUGUGGUGACGGUACCUGCAGAAGAAGCACCGGCUAACUACGUG